rnacentral:rRNA from 1 species
UACGUAGGGUGCAAGCGUUGUCCGGAAUUAUUGGGCGUAAAGAGCUCGUAGGCGGUCUGUCGCGUCUGCUGUGAAAACUCAGGGCUUAACCCUGAGCUUGCAGUGGGUACGGGCAGACUAGAGUGCGGUAGGGGAGACUGGAAUUCCUGGUGUAGCGGUGAAAUGCGCAGAUAUCUGGAGGAACACCGGUGGCGAAGGCGGCGUUCUGGACUGCAACUGACACUGAGGAACGAAAGCCAGGGGAGCAAACGGA